UACGUAGGGACCAAGCGUUGUUCGGAUUUACUGGGCGUAAAGGGCGCGUAGGCGACGUGUUAAGUCACUUGUGAAAUCUCUAAGCUUAACUUAGAACGGUCAAGUGAUACUGAUGUGCUAGAGUGCAGAAGGGGCAACCGGAAUUCUUGGUGUAGCGGUGAAAUGCGUAGAUAUCAAGAGGAACACCUGAGGUGAAGACGGGUUGCUGGGCUGACACUGACGCUGAGGCGCGAAAGCUAGGGUAGCAAACGGG
rnacentral:rRNA from 1 species